UACGGAAGGCAGCAGUGGGGAAUAUUGCACAAUGGGCGCAAGCCUGAUGCAGCCAUGCCGCGUGUAUGAAGAAGGCCUUCGGGUUGUAAAGUACUUUCAGUCGUGAGGAAGGUGUUAAGGUUAAUAACCUUAGCAAUUGACGUUAGCGACAGAAGAAGCACCGGCUAACUCCGUGCCAGCAGCCGCGGUAAUACGGAGGGUGCGAGCGUUAAUCGGAAUUACUGGGCGUAAAGGGCACGCAGGCGGUUAAUUAAGUUGGAUGUGAAAUCCCCGGGCUUAACCUGGGAAUGGCAUUCAAGACUGGUUAGCUAGAGUCUUGUAGAGGGGGUAGAAUUCCAUGUGUAGCGGUGAAAUGCGUAGAGAUGUGGAGGAAUACCGGUGGCGAAGGCGGCCCCUCGGACAAAGAACUGACGCUCAUGUGCGAAAGCGUGGGGAGGCAAACAGGGAUUAGAUACC
rnacentral:rRNA from 1 species